rnacentral:rRNA from 1 species
UACAGAGGGUGCAAGCGUUAAUCGGAAUUACUGGGCGUAAAGCGCGCGUAGGUGGUUCGUUAAGUUGGAUGUGAAAGCCCCGGGCUCAACCUGGGAACUGCAUUCAAAACUGUCGAGCUAGAGUAUGGUAGAGGGUGGUGGAAUUUCCUGUGUAGCGGUGAAAUGCGUAGAUAUAGGAAGGAACACCAGUGGCGAAGGCGACCACCUGGACUGAUACUGACACUGAGGUGCGAAAGCGGUGGGAGCAAACAGG